AUUGAACGCUGGCGGCAGGCCUAACACAUGCAAGUCGAGCGGAUGAAGGGAGCUUGCUCCUGGAUUCAGCGGCGGACGGGUGAGUAAUGCCUAGGAAUCUGCCUGGUAGUGGGGGAUAACGUCCGGAAACGGGCGCUAAUACCGCAUACGUCCUGAGGGAGAAAGUGGGGGAUCUUCGGACCUCACGCUAUCAGAUGAGCCUAGGUCGGAUUAGCUAGUUGGUGGGGUAAAGGCCUACCAAGGCGACGAUCCGUAACUGGUCUGAGAGGAUGAUCAGUCACACUGGAACUGAAACACGGUCAAGACUCCUACGGGAGGGAGCAGUGGGGAAUAUUGGACAAUGGGCGAAAGCCUGAUCCAGCCAUGCCGCGUGUGUGAAGAAGGUCUUCGGAUUGUAAAGCACUUUAAGUUGGGAGGAAGGGCAGUAAGUUAAUACCUUGCUGUUUUGACGUUACCAACAGAAUAAGCACCGGCUAACUUCGUG
rnacentral:rRNA from 1 species